rnacentral:rRNA from 1 species
UACGUAGGGCGCAAGCGUUAUCCGGAUUUAUUGGGCGUAAAGAGCUCGUAGGCGGUUUGUCGCGUCUGCCGUGAAAGUCCGGGGCUCAACUCCGGAUCUGCGGUGGGUACGGGCAGACUAGAGUGAUGUAGGGGAGACUGGAAUUCCUGGUGUAGCGGUGAAAUGCGCAGAUAUCAGGAGGAACACCGAUGGCGAAGGCAGGUCUCUGGGCAUUAACUGACGCUGAGGAGCGAAAGCAUGGGGAGCGAACAGG